rnacentral:rRNA from 3 species
UGGGGAAUAUUCCGCAAUGGACGAAAGUCUGACGGAGCAACGCCGCGUGAGUGAUGAAGGUUUUCGGACUGUAAAGCUCUGUUGUUUAGGACGAAAGUGCCUGUUGCGAACAGUUACAGGUAUUGACGGUACUGAACGAGGAAGCCACGGCUAACUACGUGCCAGCAGCCGCGGUAAUACGUAGGUGGCAAGCGUUGUCCGGAAUUAUUGGGCGUAAAGAGCAUGUAGGCGGGAAUCUAAGUCUGUUGUGAAAAUGCGGGGCUCAACCCCGUAUGGCGAUGGAAACUGGAUUUCUUGAGUGCAGGAGAGGAAAGGGGAAUUCCCAGUGUAGCGGUGAAAUGCGUAGAUAUUGGGAGGAACACCAGUGGCGAAGGCGCCUUUCUGGACUGUGUCUGACGCUGAGAUGCGAAAGCCAGGGUAGCGAACGGG